ACGCACGCUGGCGGCGUGCUUAACCCAUGCCAGUCGAACGGAAAGGCCUUUUCGGAGGUACUCGAGUGGCGAACGGGUGAGUAACACGUGGGUGAUCUGCCCUGCACUCUGGGAUAAGCCUGGGAAACUGGGUCUAAUACCGGAUAGGACCGCACUUUAGUGUGUGUGGUGGAAAGUUUUUUCGGUGUAGGAUGAGCCCGCGGCCUAUCAGCUUGUUGGUGGGGUAAUGGCCUACCAAGGCGGCGACGGGUAGCCGGACUGAGAGGUUGGUCGGCCACAUUGGGACUGAGAUACGGCCCAGACUCCUACGGGAGGCAGCAGUGGGGAAUAUUGCACAAUGGGCGCAAGCCUGAUGCAGCGACGCCGCGUGGGGGAUGACGGCCUUCGGGUUGUAAACUCCUUUCGCCAGGGACGAAGCGUUUUGUGACGGUACCUGGAGAAGAAGCACCGGCUAACUACGUG
rnacentral:rRNA from 1 species